UCUCACCCCUUUCACUUCCCAAACAAACACCAGCUGCUUCAGGGUUUCAAAACCAGCGAAAAUCUCAAAGCUUUCGAAAACCCAACUCACCAAUUGUUGUCUCAAACCCGACUCGACUCGUCGUGUGUGUUUCUCUGUUUCAAGCAUUUGUGUAUAUGGAGGGAGUGAGAGUUAAAGAGGAGGAGUCGGUGACAUGCGCUGGGGGGUCGUCAUCCUCCUCGUCCAACUUCUUUCCGCAGCCGAUGGAGGGGCUGCACGAGGUGGGUCCGCCUCCGUUUCUUACCAAGACCUUUGAAAUGGUGGAAGACCCAUCGACAGACUCGAUUGUUUCGUGGAGUGGAGCACGCAACAGCUUCAUCGUUUGGGACCCUAACAAGUUCUCCACCAUCCUUCUUCCUCGCCACUUCAAGCACAGUAACUUCUCCAGCUUCAUUCGCCAGCUCAACACAUAUGGUUUCAGAAAGGUUGAUCCUGAUCGAUGGGAAUUUGCAAAUGAAGGGUUUCUAGCAGGGCAGAGGCAUCUAUUAAAGACCAUCAAGAGGAGAAGACAAGUGUCACAUGGUAUGCAGCAAGGAGGAGGAGGAGCAGGAGGAGGAGUCGGAGCUUGGGUUGAAGUUGGACAAUACGGCUUGGAAGGUGAUCUUGAAAGGUUAAAGAGAGAUAGAAGCUUGUUAAUGGCAGAAAUUAUGAGGUUGAGGCAGCAACAACAGAAUUCGAGGGUAAAAAUGGUUUCCAUGGAGGAUAGGUUACAGACCACAGAGAGAAAGCAGAAACAGAUAAUGACUUUUCUUGCUAAAGCCCUCAGUAACCCAUCAUUUAUCCAGCAAUUUGCUCAGAGGAAUGCUCAAAGGACAGAAUUUCGAGGCGUCGAAAUCGGACGAAAGCGGAGAUUAACCACAGGCCCAAGUGUGGAGAGUUCACCAGAACCAGUGUCAUUGGAGGCAGGCAGUGGCCAAGUUGUGGGUUUUGCAAGCCAAGAUCAAGAAGAAUUGGCAACCAUGGAGUCAGAAAUUGAAACUUUUUUCUCAGCAGCCUUGGACAAUGAAUCAAGCAGUGAUAUCAAGGAUCCAAUUGAAAGUUUGAUACCCUCCACAACAAAUGGCUGCAAUUUGGAUUUUGCCAAUGAAACAAUAUGGGAGGAACUACUGAAUGAUGAUUUAAUUGCUGUGGAUCCAGUGGAAGAAGCUGUGGUGGGUGAUCAAUCAGAAAUCGAUGUGGGAGUGGAUUAUUUGUUUGCAAAACCUGCCGAAUGGGGUGAGGAUUUGCGAGGCCUUGUGGAUCAAAUGGGUCAUCUCAGGUCGAUGCCCUGACCAUUAUGAUCAAAUAUAUCAAAAAUAAGGCAAUUAGCAGAAUAUAUUCUGAAUAUAUUCUUAUCAGACAUGAUGUGUAUUCUGGGUUGGUCUCUGCAGCUCUUGAUCUAUUCCUAUAUUGUCUUUAUCGGGAUGGAGAGAGUUGUAAGGAGGCCAGCAGCUUUCGUCCUCAUCUGUAUCCUUUAAUGAUUAAACCGGUCACCCUAAAAUUUUCUGCUAUUUUUCGUUGCACUUUGAAUCACUUCGAUGGUUUUUGAUUUGCUGUUUUGUUUUCUGCAUUUUGCAGGCGGACCAGCCAACAGGAACCGUCAUGGUGGGGUUUUAUUCAUUGACUCGUCUCCUCCAAGCUCUAGUUAUAGUAUCUGCCUUCCUUAAUUUCUCCUUUAUUUAUAUAUAUAUAUGUGGGAUUCUAAUUCUAAUUUGUUAAUUUCUCUUUAAUUCCCUCGGUUGUACAUAAGAUCAAUUAAGUUCUUGUUUAUAUUUGAAAUAUUUGAUUAUAUAUAAUAUAUAUAUUUUGGCCA